CGUACUGGAGUAGCGUGGGCCCCUAAUCCAACAGGACUGUGUCUUUAUAAAAAGGGGAACUCUGGACACAGACACAGAGGGAGAACACCACGUGAAGAUGGGAGUGAUGCUGCCAGAAGCCAAGGAAGUACCAGAAGCUGGGAGAGAGGCCUGGAACACAGCCUUCCCUGGAGCCAUCAGAGGGAGCGUGGCCUGGCUGACACCUUGAUCUUGGACUUUCCAGCCUCCAGAACCGGGAGAGAAUAAAUGUCUGCUGUCUAAACCACCCACUUUGUGGUACUCGGUGGGGGCAGCCGGAGGAAACUAAUUCAGCCACCAACCACCUCGGCUGCCUUGAAGGUGACUCCUCUUGCUGCCAUUAUAGAUUGCUAGGAAGUCUGGGGUUUUGUGACCAUAACUUCCCUCAGCCAAGACUUCCUGAUGAGAAAACUGAGGCACAGAGACCACACAGAGGCUUCCUACACGUUCAUUCUCAUUCACGCUACCCCUCACUGCUUCCUGGAAUCCUCUCCCAAGAAAACUCCAUCAUCUCUGGGUCUGCUCUGAGGAGAACCACCUAAGACCCAUGGCCUCUUUGGGAUAAAAUAAUGGAUCUGCUGCAAAAGCCCAGUCCACCUUUCUAAGCUGUGCAAUGCUGGGCAAGGGAAAUGGGAAGAGACUAAUACUUAGUUCUCAGAAUUCCUUUGAGAAUUAAAUGAGGUAGUUCUUAUACAGUUUGCACAGUGGCUAGCAAAGAGUAGCCCUUCCAUAGAUGUUGGCUAUUAUUACUCUCCUGCUGCUUCUUCUGAAGCCUUCUCCGUCCCCUGUGCCCUGUGGGUAUCCAACAUCCAGAUCAUGCAGGAAUGGUGACGUGGAGCUUCAGAAAGGUGUCUGUACUUGCGAUGGGAGAAAAGGGCUUGAAUCUAGCUGGGCCACCAAUCAAGGAAACUGAAACUUGGUUUCCUUAUCUGUGAAAUGAGAAUGUAAAUAUCAACCUCACGGGGCUAUUGUGAAGAAGAAAUUAAACAAUGUGUAGACAGCACUUGGCAAUGAAUCUGGUGUGUGGUCGGCACUCAGCAAACGUUUGUUGAAGGAAAAGCAGGAGUGACAGGGUCCUGAAUGACCUGCUGGGGUUGUGGCAUCUCUCCCACUGCCCCCUGCAUGGGACUCCCCAGGGCCACCUUGGCCUAGGCAAGCAGGAGGAGUCAGUAGAUGGAAAGGCCUGGCCGCUUGCCACUCUUGAUGAGGCUCAACUCCUUGUUCCGUGCCCAGCCAGGAAACAGUAUUAUUCCAUGAGCCCAAACCCCUCAUUGGACGAGGCCAGCAAUAACCACUGGGAUGCCAUUGUUGUUUGUGAGAUGUCUGGGCAGGACUAAUAGGUGGGGUUGACCAGAAUGAGGGAUUGUAUUAUGAGCGAAGGCGUGUUCUCAAGGGAUCCCUCCUACUCCAAAGGAUGGAGGAAGAUGCUCCAUUGAAUGAGAGCGGAGACACAGACCUGCCGCCCCAGAAGUAGCUUUCAGUCUUGCAUCAGUGGGCAGGCCUCAGACUUGCCAAGAGAAGCCACUUUCUUGGAAGGGGCUGCAAAAUUGAAACAAGACCAGUCUGCUAGUUUAGGCUGCUUUAAUUUUACAAACGGUUUGUUAUUUGCUAGCUUAUUUGAUCCUCACAACCACCCCGUAAAACAGGCUGGGAAAUAGUAUCUCCUAUUGACAAUUGAGGGAAACUGAGGUCCAGAGAGGUAAUUAACCAGCUUCAGUCAGUUGCUAGCGGCUGACGCAGGAGUCGUCCCAUAUCGUGGGUCCCGGCCCUGUGAAUUCUCCAUCCCAGAAGAUGGACAAUUUAAAUGGCAGGAGAAGGAGAGCCUCUGCUUUAAUUUUUAAAGAUAUUUUAAAAGUAAAGGAAAAAAGUCUUUAUGAGGCUAGCCUGGUGGUGCAGUGGUUAAGUUCAUGGG